AGGGAAUCUUCCGCAAUGGACGAAAGUCUGACGGAGCAACGCCGCGUGAGUGAAGAAGGCCUUCGGGUCGUAAAACUCUGUUGCCGGGGAAGAACAAGUGCCGUUCGAACAGGGCGGCGCCUUGACGGUACCCGGCCAGAAAGCCACGGCUAACUACGUGCCAGCAGCCGCGGUAAUACGUAGGUGGCAAGCGUUGUCCGGAAUUAUUGGGCGUAAAGCGCGCGCAGGCGGCUUCUUAAGUCUGAUGUGAAAUCGUGCGGCUCAACCGCAAGCGGUCAUUGGAAACUGGGAGGCUGGAGUGCAGAAGAGGAGAGUGGAAUUCCACGUGUAGCGGUGAAAUGCGUAGAGAUGUGGAGGAACACCAGUGGCGAAGGCGACUCUCCGGGCUGUAACUGACGCUGAGGCGCGAAAGCGUGGGGAGCAAAC
rnacentral:rRNA from 1 species